UAGCUUGCUAGAAGUGGAUUAGUGGCGCACGGGUGAGUAAGGUAUAGUUAAUCUGCCCUACACAAGAGGACAACAGUUGGAAACGACUGCUAAUACUCUAUACUCCUGCUUAACACAAGUUGAGUAGGGAAAGUUUUUCGGUGUAGGAUGAGACUAUAUAGUAUCAGCUAGUUGGUAAGGUAAUGGCUUACCAAGGCUAUGACGCUUAACUGGUCUGAGAGGAUGAUCAGUCACACUGGAACUGAGACACGGUCCAGACUCCUACGGGAGGCAGCAGUAGGGAAUAUUGCGCAAUGGGGGAAACCCUGACGCAGCAACGCCGCGUGGAGGAUGACACUUUUCGGAGCGUAAACUCCUUUUCUUAGGGAAGAAUUCUGACGGUACCUAAGGAAUAAGCACCGGCUAACUCCGUGCCAGCAGCCGCGGUAAUACGGAGGGUGCAAGCGUUACUCGGAAUCACUGGGCGUAAAGGGCGCGUAGGCGGAUUAUCAAGUCUCUUGUGAAAUCUAAUGGCUUAACCAUUAAACUGCUUGGGAAACUGAUAGUCUAGAGUGAGGGAGAGGCAGAUGGAAUUGGUGGUGUAGGGGUAAAAUCCGUAGAUAUCACCAAGAAUACCCAUUGCGAAGGCGAUCUGCUGGAACUCAACUGACGCUAAGGCGCGAAAGCGUGGGGAGCAAACAGGAUUAGAUACCCUGGUAGUCCACGCCCUAAACGAUGUACACUAGUUGUUGGGGUGCUAGUCAUCUCAGUAAUGCAGCUAACGCAUUAAGUGUACCGCCUGGGGAGUACGGUCGCAAGAUUAAAACUCAAAGGAAUAGACGGGGACCCGCACAAGCGGUGGAGCAUGUGGUUUAAUUCGAAGAUACGCGAAGAACCUUACCUGGGCUUGAUAUCCUAAGAACCUUUUAGAGAUAAGAGGGUGCUAGCUUGCUAGAACUUAGAGACAGGUGCUGCACGGCUGUCGUCAGCUCGUGUCGUGAGAUGUUGGGUUAAGUCCCGCAACGAGCGCAACCCACGUAUUUAGUUGCUAACGGUUCGGCCGAGCACUCUAAAUAGACUGCCUUCGUAAGGAGGAGGAAGGUGUGGACGACGUCAAGUCAUCAUGGCCCUUAUGCCCAGGGCGACACACGUGCUACAAUGGCAUAUACAAUGAGACGCAAUACCGCGAGGUGGAGCAAAUCUAUAAAAUAUGUCCCAGUUCGGAUUGUUCUCUGCAACUCGAGAGCAUGAAGCCGGAAUCGCUAGUAAUCGUAGAUCAGCCAUGCUACGGUGAAUACGUUCCCGGGUCUUGUACUCACCGCCCGUCACACCAUGGGAGUUGAUUUCACUCGAC
rnacentral:rRNA from 1 species